rnacentral:lncRNA from 1 species
UAAGGGUUUCCAAAAACAUCCUCCAAGGUAUGAAGGUAAAUUGAUUUCUACUUCCAAUCCCAAGGGGUUUCAAUGCUUCAAGUGUCAAGGGUGGGGGCAGAAGGCUAGUGAGUGACCAAACCGGCGGAAUAUGAUCCUAAGGGGGUAGACUGUACUAUCUUGGAGAAGAGGUGGGCAUUGAAUAGGUUAAGAAUGAUAACAAACCGCAAGAUGGAGAGCAAAAAGAAAAGUGCAAAAUGAAGAGUAUAGAGAAGAUGUGUGGCCGGAAGAAGGAGAUUGUGAAGUGCCUUUGUAAAAGAGGUGAGCCCGUGAAUUUGAGGUCAAAUUCCUCUCAAGAUGGAUAGGAUGAUACAAGUAUGAUCAUGAUCAUGAUCAUGACACUUUUGAGUAUUUUUGAAGACUAGUCACUAAAGG